rnacentral:rRNA from 1 species
UGGGGAAUAUUGCACAAUGGGCGCAAGCCUGAUGCAGCCAUGCCGCGUGUAUGAAGAAGGCCUUCGGGUUGUAAAGUACUUUCAGUCGGGAGGAAGGUGUCAAGGUUAAUAACCUUGGCAAUUGACGUUACCGACAGAAGAAGCACCGGCUAACUCCGUGCCAGCAGCCGCGGUAAUACGGAGGGUGCAAGCGUUAAUCGGAAUUACUGGGCGUAAAGCGCACGCAGGCGGUUGAUUGAGUCAGAUGUGAAAUCCCCGGGCUUAACCCGGGAAUUGCAUCUGAUACUGGUCAGCUAGAGUCUUGUAGAGGGGGGUAGAAUUGCAUGUGUAGCGGUGAAAUGCGUAGAGAUGUGGAGGAAUACCGGUGGCGAAGGAGGCCCCCUGGACAAAGACUGACGCUCAGGUGCGAAAGCGUGGGGAGCAAACAGG